rnacentral:rRNA from 1 species
UACGUAGGCAGCAAGCGUUGUUCGGAAUUACUGGGCGUAAAGAGUGUGUAGGCGGUGCUCUAAGUCUGUUGUGAAAUCUCCCGGCUUAACUGGGAGGGUGCGGCGGAAACUGGAGUGCUCGAGGGUGGGAGAGGUAAGCGGAAUUCCUGGUGUAGCGGUGAAAUGCGUAGAUAUCAGGAGGAACACCGGCGGUGUAGACGGCUUUCUGGAACGCAACUGACGCUGAGACGCGAAAGCGUGGGGAGCAAACAGG